rnacentral:sRNA from 5 species
AGUUGCUCAUUCACCUUUUUAUGAUAGCCCCGCAAUUAAGCGGAUGAUGCGCUUCAUAAGCCUCCGAAUGAUGCCUAAGACUGGUGCCUAUCGUCCACCUAAACCGACAUUGUGUGAAAGCACAUUAUCAAACAUCGGACGACACGUUGAGUGAGGCACCGCCUAUGUCCUGCUGUGAUGAAUUAUUCAUCAAUUUUG